rnacentral:rRNA from 1 species
AAAUGAAUUGACGGGGGCCCGCACAAGCAGUGGAGUAUGUGGUUUAAUUCGAAGCAACGCGAAGAACCUUACCAGGUCUUGACAUCCUGAGAAUCCUUAAGAGAUUAGGGAGUGCCUUCGGGAACUCAGAGACAGGUGGUGCAUGGUUGUCGUCAGCUCGUGUCGUGAGAUGUUGGGUUAAGUCCCGCAACGAGCGCAACCCUUGCUAUUAGUUGCUACGCAAGAGCACUCUAAUAGGACUGCCGUUGACAAAACGGAGGAAGGUGGGGACGACGUCAAAUCAUCAUGCCCCUUAUGACCUGGGCUACACACGUACUACAAUGGCCAUUAACAGAGGGAAGCAAAACCGCGAGGCAGAGCAAACCCCUAAAAAUGGUCCCAGUUCGGAUUGUAGGCUGCAACCCGCCUACAUGAAGUUGGAAUUGCUAGUAAUCGCGGAUCAGCAUGCCGCGGUGAAUACGUUCCCGGGCCUUGUACACACCGCCCGU